GACGAACCGUGCGAACGUUGUUCGGAAUCACUGGGCUUAAAGGGCGCGUAGGCGGACCACCAAGUCGGGGGUGAAAUCUUUCAGCUCAACUGGAAAAGAGCUUCCGAUACUGGUGGUCUCGAGGGAGGUAGGGGUCGAGGGAACUAAUGGUGGAGCGGUGAAAUGCGUAGAUAUCAUUAGGAACGCCGGUGGCGAAAGCGCUCGACUGGACCUCCUCUGACGCUGAGGCGCGAAAGCCAGGGGAGCAAACGGG
rnacentral:rRNA from 1 species